rnacentral:rRNA from 1 species
CAAGAUUAAGCCAUGCAUGUAUCAGCACAAGCCUCAAAAUGGUGAAGCCGCGAAUAGCUCAUUACAACAGUCGUAGUUUAUUAGAAAGUACCAUAUGGAUAACUGUGGUAAUUCUAGAGCUAAUACAUGUUCCAAUCCCCGACUCACGAAGGGGUGCAUUUAUUAGAACAAAGCCGAUCAGACUAUGUCUGUCUCAGGUUGACUCUGAAUAACUUUGCUAAUCGCACAGUCUUUGCACUGGCGAUGUAUCUUUCAAAUGUCUGCCUUAUCAACUGUUGAUGGUAGAUUAUGCGCCUACCAUGGUUGUAACGGGUAACGGAGAAUCAGGGUUUGAUUCCGGAGAGGGAGCCUGAGAGACAGCUACCACAUCCAAGGAAGG